rnacentral:rRNA from 1 species
AGCAGGCGCGCAAAUUACCCAAUCCUGACACAGGGAGGUAGUGACAAUAAAUAACGAUACAGGGCCCUUACGGGUCUUGUAAUUGGAAUGAGUACAAUGUAAAUACCUUAACGAGGAACAAUUGGAGGGCAAGUCUGGUGCCAGCAGCCGCGGUAAUUCCAGCUCCAAUAGCGUAUAUUAAAGUUGUUGCAGUUAAAAAGCUCGUAGUUGAACUUUGGGCCUGGUCGGCCGGUCCGGAUUUUUCCGCGUACUGGUUUUCUUCCGACCGGGCCUCUCCUUCUGGCUAGCCCUGGGUCCCUGUGGCCCUUGGUGAACCAGGACUUUUACUUUGAAAAAAUUAGAGUGUUCAAAGCAGGCGUAUUGCUCGAAUAUAUUAGCAUGGAAUAAUAGAAUAGGACGUUUGGUUCUAUUUUGUUGGUUUCUAGGACCAUCGUAAUGAUUAAUAGGGACGGUCGGGGGCAUCAGUAUUCAGUUGUCAGAGGUGAAAUUCUUGGAUUUACUGAAGACUAACUACUGCGAAAGCAUUUGCCAAGGACGUUUUCAUUAAUCAAGAACGAAAGUUAGGGGAUCGAAGAUGAUCAGAUACCGUCGUAGUCUUAACCAUAAACUAUGCCGACUAGGGAUCGGGUGGUGUUUAUUUACUGACCCACUCGGCACCUUACGAG